rfam:Schistosoma mansoni strain Puerto Rico chromosome W, complete genome
AUCCAGCUGACGAGUCCCAAAUAGGACGAGACGUGAGUCCUGGAU